rnacentral:rRNA from 1 species
UAGGGAAUCUUCGGCAAUAGACGAAAGUCUGACCGAGCAACGCCGCGUGAGUGAAGAAGGUUUUCGGAUCGUAAAACUCUGUUGUUAGAGAAGAACAAGGACGUUAGUAACUGAACGUCCCCUGACGGUAUCUAACCAGAAAGCCACGGCUAACUACGUGCCAGCAGCCGCGGUAAUACGUAGGUGGCAAGCGUUGUCCGGAUUUAUUGGGCGUAAAGCGAGCGCAGGCGGUUUCUUAAGUCUGAUGUGAAAGCCCCCGGCUCAACCGGGGAGGGUCAUUGGAAACUGGGAGACUUGAGUGCAGAAGAGGAGAGUGGAAUUCCAUGUGUAGCGGUGAAAUGCGUAGAUAUAUGGAGGAAUACCGGUGGCGAAGGCGGCCCCCUGGACAAAGACUGACGCUCAGGUGCGAAAGCGUGGGGAGCAAACAGG